CCUACGGGAGACAGCAGUGGGGAAUAUUGCACAAUGGGGGAAACCCUGAUGCAGCGACGCCGCGGGAGUGAAGAAGUAUCUCGGUACGUAAAGCUCUAUCAGCAGGGAAGAAAAUGACGGUACCUGACUAAGAAGCCCCGGCGAACUACGUGCCAGGAGCCGCGGUAAUACGUAGGGGGCAAGCGUUAUCCGGAUUUAUUGGGUUUAAAGGGAGCGUAGGCCGCCUUUUAAGUCAGCUGUGAAAGUCCGCGGCUCAACCGUGGAAUUGCAGUUGAAACUGGAGGCCUUGAGUGCACACAGGGAUGCCGGAAUUCAUGGUGUAGCGGUGAGAUGCUUAGAUAGCAUGAAGAACUCCGAUCGCGAAGGCAAGUGUCCGUGGUGCAACUGACGCUGAGGCUCGAAAGUGCGGGUAUCAAACAGGAUUAGAUACCCGUGUAGUC
rnacentral:rRNA from 1 species